CUGCCCUUCAUGGCCCACGGCGACCUGCACAGCUUCCUGCUCUGCGCGCGCCUCGGGGACCCCCCCAGGGCGCUGUCGCUGCGCUCCCUGCUGGGGUUCAUGGCUGACAUCGCGGCCGGGAUGAGUUACCUGAGCCAGAGGAACUUCGUGCACAGAGACCUGGCGGCCAGGAACUGCAUGCUGGACGAUCAGCUCCGAGUGCUGGUGGCCGAUUU